CCUACGGGGGGCAGCAGUGGGGAAUAUUGGACAAUGGGGGGAACCCUGAUCCAGCCAUGCCGCGUGUGUGAAGAAGGCCCUCGGGUUGUAAAGCACUUUCAGUGAGGAAGAACGCCUGGUGGUUAAUACCCAUCAGGAAAGACAUCACUCACAGAAGAAGCACCGGCUAACUCCGUGCCAGCAGCCGCGGUAAUACGGAGGGUGCGAGCGUUAAUCGGAAUUACUGGGCGUAAAGCGCGCGUAGGUGGCUUGAUAAGCCGGUUGUGAAAGCCCCGGGCUCAACCGGGGAACGGCAUCCGGAACUGUCAAGCUAGAGUGCAGGAGAGGAAGGUAGAAUUCCAGGUGUAGCGGUGAAAUGCGUAGAGAUCGGGAGGAAUACCAGUGGCGAAGGCGGCCUUCUGGACUGACACUGACACUGAGGUGCGAAAGCGUGGGUAGCAAACAGGAUUAGAUACCCUGGUAGUC
rnacentral:rRNA from 1 species